rnacentral:rRNA from 1 species
AUUGAACGCUGGCGGCAGGCUUAACACAUGCAAGUCGAGCGAGAGGCGGACGGGUGAGUAAUGUCUGGGAAACUGCCUGAUGGAGGGGGAUAACUCCUGGAAACGGUAGCUCAUACCGCACACCAUCAGAUGUGCCCAGAUGGGAUUAGCUAGGAGGUGGGGUAAUGGCGCACCUAGGCGACGAUCCCUAGCUGGUCUGAGAGGAUGACCAGCCACACUGGAACUGAGACACGUUCCAGACUCUUACGGGCGGCAGCAGUGGGGAAUUGUGCACAAUGGGGGAAACCCUGAUGCAGCCAUCCCGCGUGUGCGAUGAAGGCCUUCGGGUUGUAAAGCACUUUCGGCAGGAAGGCGGUACCUGCAGAAUAGGCACCGGCUAACUACGUGCCAGCAGCCGCGGUAAUUC